CCGGCCCGCAUCCCCCCGGCCCGCAGCGCACGCGCGAACGGGCCUGCGGGUGGGGCGGCCGGGGCGCUGGCCUCUCCGCGGGGACUCUCGGGCCCACCCGGCGGCCCGAGGUGGCGGGGCGGGGGUGCGGGUGCUGCGACCUCACAGAGUGGGCUCAGGACCGGGCGGGGAAGGCGCCACGCCCCGAAGUUUAGGGACAGCGCGGGAACGUGCGGCCCGCGCCUGGGUGGGGUCUGGCCGCGCAGGGGACCGGGCACCCGGCACCAGGCGCCACCGAGCCGCUUUCCCUUGGACGAGCAGCGGCUGCGUCCCCAGCCUGGCCUUGAGGCCUUCGUUCUCCCUCCGUUGGAGGUGCCCCCCCUGGUUACCUGUGCGGAAGCAGCAAUCCUGAAAUCCUCUUCCAAUUUCUCUUUCUCUUUCCUGGGUGACACCACACCUGCUGCCCCUUCCUGGCCAGGCUGGCUCCGCCUAGUGACAGGACGCCCUGCUUCCUGAGCGCUGGCACCUGGGACCUGGAGUGCAGGGGUCUCCCUCUCCAACCCCCAGAGGCCCCUGCGGUGGAGAAGCCCAGCCUGGGGGUGGCGGGUGACCUUCACUGCUGAGGUUCCCUUGGACCUACUGGAGGAACCACUACCCCAACUUCUGUCCUCUCCUCCUGACUACAGACCCCAGCCUCGCACCCAUUCCAGGCUCUGUCCUUACACUCCCAGCUACAGAGACCCCUCCACACUUCGCCCACGCACAACCCCCAGCAGGCUCUGCUCUGCUCUCAGAGGUUGCCGUACUCAGCAGUUUGGACUGGUAGAAGACGGGCAUCUGUCCAGAGAUCUGCUCCCCGAGACUCAGGGCUCUGUCUGUUCAGGUCGGAGCCGGCUGCACGUCUGUGUCCCACUCGGCCCCCAGCGCCGCCUUCUCCUGGCUGUUACAGCUCGCAGUGCAAGUGAAAUAGUGAAAAUACUACGUUCCCAUGCUCAUCGUGUUGGCUAACCGGGCCUGUUCAGUCCGUUGUGCAAACCAGCCCCUGCGCUGACGUAAACACAGCGAUUUGCCAAUGGAGGGAUCCCGGCACGUGGCUCUCGUCUGGGUAGGACAGUGGCUACUGUGCCCUCGGUUCUGAACACAGCCCUCCCCGUGAGAACUGCCAUCACCUUCCUGCCACUCCCAGGGUAGAGAGGUCAUCACGGCGCUGCUCCCAGUGACACGGCAGCUGAGCCUCUGAAGGUCCAGUCAACUCUGCUCCCACGAUGGCAUUUUCUGACUUUGCAGAUGAAAAUGGGCCUUCGUGCAGCAGCGUCUAACACGUCAGAUAGUCACAGACCAGCUUCUGUGUGGAGGCGAAGCGACAGGAAUCAGAUGCACCCUCUCCCAUGGAGCAAGGCGCCAGAAGCACAAGGACCACGUGGAAAACAACGCGGGCGAUGAGCGGGAUGCGACAGACGCGGCUGGGGGACGGGAAUGGGCAGCGGCCUGGGUGGGAAGGUCUGCGGAGGGGCCCGGGGCAGCGCACGCUGUGUUUGGGGAAAUGGUCGGAGGAGACCGUGCACUUGCUAGAAAGCAAGCCCGGGGCCCCCAGACGUCGUUCAGUCAGGCUUGUUACUUGUCCACAUCUGCGUUUGCACUCCGUGGAGCCCAGCGGGCUCCCAGGAAGCACACGCAGGUGAGGGCGCAUUUCACACUUGUUUCCCGUGGCUUCUGUCCAAACGCUUCACACACUUCCCCCCUUUCUCUUCCAAAGUCACAUCACCGUAGGUUUGGUGGUGGUAAGCCCAGCUCUUGUCAUCUAAAAAUGCCGUUUUUGCUCUUUUCCCUACAUGUAGCGUUGCUGGGUAUGUGACUGUAGGUUGACAGCUAUUUCCCUCCCUUCCAUCCUUCUGCGAUUCCCAUCGGUGCUCUUUCCUUCUGGUUGUUUCUCAGGGCGAAUUGUCUGGCGUGCUCUCUUUCCCUAUGGGAUGCACAGCUGUGGGAUUCUUUACCUUCCCGGCUAGUUGUAAACGAGGCCUCUGGUCCCUCUGCAUUCGUGCCUUUCGUGAGUUCUGGGUGAUCCUGAUACUAGAUGACGUCCCUUCUCACACUCCUUGUCCCCGACUCCAGCCGGGCACGUCUGAGGCCCGCCUGCCCUUCCCCCACAUCACCCUCGCGGCUGCAGCGGUAUUCUGAUAAUUUCCUUGAAUUACCUGCCGGUUCAAUAAUUCUCUCUUCAGCUAGGUUUAAUCUGGUGUUUUAAUUUAUCCACGUUUUUAACAAGUGUAUUUUUACUUCUAAGAAUUCUGUUCGGGCCGUUUACAUAUCUCCCUGAUCAUUGAGAAAAUCCUCUUCUUGCUUAUUCUUGUCAUUCUGUCUCACAGUGAAACAGUUUGGACAUCCUACUUAAUACCCCGUAUUUCUAAUUCCUGAGGUUUCCGGGGGCCUGAAUCUAUUUCUUGACCCUCACACACGAUGGCUUGUGGUCUUGGCUUGUGAACCUAUCCUGACUGAUCCCAAACUCUGGAAAACCUGGCUUCCUCACUCGGGCAAGUUUAGCUCAGCUGAUUUCUGCCGGACACUGGGCUCGUCUUGGAUCCUUGCCUCCAGCUCUGGCCCCUGCCUCUGCCUCAAGGCCUGGUUUCAAAGAAGCCCCAACCCUUGACCACUUACCUCUCAGUUCACAUUUUUUCUCAAAAGUUUCUUGGGGAUUUUCUCACUUUGUAUAAAUCUAGAAUGCAAUGAAGUUACAUUUUUAGGAGAGUGCUGUUUUGUGGUGAAAACUCCACCAUAAAGCCAGAAGCCUCUCCUUUGAAUCCUACCCCUGGGCCUGACUCCACGGCCAGGACCCAGGCAGCCCCCAGGCUGUGUCCACGGUGCCCAGCUCCGUGUCGUCCUCGUCAAGGCCUUGUAGCUGGUUAGCGUCUGAACCUGUCCUCUGUUGGAGAGUCUUGUGGCUCGUGAGUCUUGGUGGGAGGCAAAGCCCACCUGCCCUCCAGAAGCCAGAGGGUCAUCUCCGAAGGUUGAGGUCGGGUCAGGCAAGGGCUGCGUUCCACAGUCCCGUGAGCCUGUGUACACUUAGGCUCUGGGGACACAAGGUCAGGGCAGCUGCCAUGUGGGGGCCAAGA